rnacentral:tRNA from 1 species
GGGCUAUUAGCUCAGCUGGUUAGAGCGUACCCCUGAUAAGGGUAAGGUGUCUGGUUCAAAUCCAGAAUGGCCCA